AUUAAGAUGUCUGAUUAAAGUAAUAAAUUGUAAAUUUAUUUAAGAAUUGACUAUUCUCUUAAUA
rnacentral:tRNA from 1 species